rnacentral:rRNA from 1 species
AUUGAACGCUGGCGGCAGGCCUAACACAUGCAAGUCGAGCGGCAGCGGGAAAGUAGCUUGCUACUUUUGCCGGCGAGCGGCGGACGGGUGAGUAAUGCCUGGGGAUCUGCCCUAUAGAGGGGGAUAACUACGGGAAACUGUAGCUAAUACCGCAUAAUGUCUACGGACCAAAGUGGGGGCUCUUCGGACCUCAUGCUAUCGGAUGAACCCAGGUGGGACUAGCUAGUUGGUGAGGUAAUGGCUCACCAAGGCGACGAUCUCUAACUGGUUUGGGAGAAUGAGCAGUCACACUGGAACUGAGACACGGUCCAGACUCCUACGGGAGGCAGCAGUGGGGAAUAUUGCACAAUGGGCGCAAGCCUGAUGCAGCCAUGCCGCGUGUGUGAAGAAGGCCUUCGGGUUGUAAAGCACUUUCAGCGGGGAGGAAGGGUCACUAGUUAAUACCUAGUGGCAUUGACGUUACUCGCAGAAGAAGCACCGGCUAACUCCGUGCCAGCCGCCGCUGUAACAC